ACGGAAUAGAUACCCCGGGUAGUCCACGCCCUAAACGAUGUCUACUAGUUGCUGGGAGAGUAAAAACUCUCUUAGUAAACCGCAGCUAAACGCGUGAAGUAGACCGCCUGGGGUAGUACGGUCGCAAGAUUAAAAACCUCAAACGGAAUUGACGGGGGUCCCGCACAAGCGGUGGAUUAUGUGGAUUAAUUCGAUGCAACGCGAAAAACCCUUACCUGGCCUUGACAUGCUACUAACCGAAGCAGAGAUGCAUUAGGUGCCCGAAAGGGUAAACGUAGACACAGGUGCUGCAUGGCUGUCGUCAGCUCGUGUCGUGAGAUGUUGGG
rnacentral:rRNA from 1 species